rnacentral:lncRNA from 1 species
UCCGACAAACUAAUUAAAAAAAGACUGAUUACAUUGUUUCAACUAAAUUGUUUACUCUCAAAAAGAUAUUUUCUUUUAAAGAGGAAAAACAAAGUUCCUUCUUUUAGGUAACUUAAUAAACUAUUAUAACCAAACGUUGAGGAUUCAACGAUUGAAACCGUUCACACGUCUCGUCCUUUGCGAGUGACUUUCUGCUAAAGUAAACCACAAGCUGUCCACAUGACUACGACAGGCUGUGUCCAUGGCGGAAAUAAAGAAGCUUUCUUUGUUGCGACUUAACCUUCGUAAGCAAAGUUGGAAUCUUUUUCCCACCCAAAGUCUUCCUAGACCAUGAUUAACCGGUUCACAAUUGAAUUGGAACCGGUUUUUGGAUAUUGACUAAUCGGUUUUCUAUGCCGUCACCAGUAAUCACCGCAAGAGCAGACUCCAUUCUUGAAAUGAUGAAACCGGUUUGAAUCCCUCACAAUGAUCUCUCUCUCAGUGAUUUUCGAUAUGAACUUGGUUACGCUAUGGCAAUCGCCGCAUACCCUUAGAUUCUUAAAAAUCCGAAUCGUUGUCUUUGCAGGAGUGGCGAUAAGUGCAAAUGCAAUAGCUAAUCUUUCACUAUGACUCAUGAGGAUAUGCUCUUUCUCGUCGUCUUCAACAUCCUGCAACACAAAUCUAUGGUCC